rnacentral:ncRNA from 1 species
CGUCUUCAGGGCAGGGUGAGCGCGCAGGCGCGAUUCCCGACCGGCGGUAAAGUCCGCAAGCUGUGAUGCAGCAUGAUCCGGUGCAACUCCGGGACCGACAGUACAGUCUGGAUGGAAGAAGAU